GAGUAGGUGGCUGAAGAAGGUAAUAAAUUGUAAAUUUAUGUAUGAGAAGAAUUUCUCCCUGCUUA
rnacentral:tRNA from 1 species